rnacentral:rRNA from 1 species
UACGUAGGGUGCGAGCGUUAAUCGGAAUUACUGGGCGUAAAGCGUGCGCAGGCGGCUUUGCAAGACAGAUGUGAAAUCCCCGGGCUCAACCUGGGAACUGCAUUUGUGACUGCAAGGCUAGAGUACGGCAGAGGGGGAUGGAAUUCCGCGUGUAGCAGUGAAAUGCGUAGAUAUGGGGAGGAACACCAAUGGCGAAGGCG